rnacentral:rRNA from 1 species
GCUUCUCUGAUGUUAGCGGCGGACGGGUGAGUAACACGUGGAUAACCUACCUAUAAGACUGGGAUAACUUCGGGAAACCGGAGCUAAUACCGGAUAAUAUUUUGAACCGCAUGGUUCAAAAGUGAAAGACGGUCUUGCUGUCACUUAUAGAUGGAUCCGCGCUGCAUUAGCUAGUUGGUAAGGUAACGGCUUACCAAGGCAACGAUGCAUAGCCGACCUGAGAGGGUGAUCGGCCACACUGGAACUGAGACACGGUCCAGACUCCUACGGGAGGCAGCAGUAGGGAAUCUUCCGCAAUGGGCGAAAGCCUGACGGAGCAACGCCGCGUGAGUGAUGAAGGUCUUCGGAUCGUAAAACUCUGUUAUUAGGGAAGAACAUAUGUGUAAGUAACUGUGCACAUCUUGACGGUACCUAAUCAGAAAGCCACGGCUAACUACGUGCCAGCAGCCGCGGUAAUACGUAGGUGGCAAGCGUUAUCCGGAAUUAUUGGGCGUAAAGCGCGCGUAGGCGGUUUUUUAAGUCUGAUGUGAAAGCCCACGGCUCAACCGUGGAGGGUCAUUGGAAACUGGAAAACUUGAGUGCAGAAGAGGAAAGUGGAAUUCCAUGUGUAGCGGUGAAAUGCGCAGAGAUAUGGAGGAACACCAGUGGCGAAGGCGACUUUCUGGUCUGUAACUGACGCUGAUGUGCGAAAGCGUGGGGAUCAAACAGGAUUAGAUACCCUGGUAGUCCACGCCGUAAACGAUGAGUGCUAAGUGUUAGGGGGUUUCCGCCCCUUAGUGCUGCAGCUAACGCAUUAAGCACUCCGCCUGGGGAGUACGACCGCAAGUG